rnacentral:rRNA from 1 species
CGGCGUAGCUUAACACAACUAGCAAGUCGAACGAAGAAGCGACGGAAGCUUGCUUCUAUCAAUCUUAGUGGCGAACGGGUACGGAGUAACGCGUAAGUCAACCCUAGCCCUUCCAGAGGGGGACGAACAAGUUGGAAACGACUGCUAAUACCGCAUACGAUCUAAUCUCGGCAUCGAGGAUGGAUGAAAGGUGGCCUCUACAUGUAAGCUAUCACUGAAGGAGGGGAUUGCGUCUGAUUAGCUAGUUGGAGGGGUAACGGCCCACCAAGGCGAUGAUCAGUAGCCGGUCUGAGAGGAUGAACGGCCACAUUGGGACUGAGACACGGCCCAGACUCCUACGGGAGGCAGCAGUGGGGAAUCUUCCGCAAUGGACGAAAGUCUGACGGAGCGACGCCGCGUGAGUGAUGACGGCCUUCGGGUUGUAAAGCUCUGUUAAUCGGGACGAAAGGCCUUCUUGCGAAUAGUGAGAAGGAUUGACGGUACCGGAAUAGAAAGCCACGGCUAACUACGUG